rnacentral:rRNA from 1 species
CGUUCCUACGGGGGCAGCAGUAGGGAAUCUUCCACAAUGGGCGAAAGCCUGAUGCAGCAACGCCGCGUGAAGGAAGAAGGCCUUCGGGUCGUAAACUUCUGUCCUUGGGGAAGAAGAACUGACGGUACCCAAGGAGGAAGCCCCGGCUAACUACGUGCCAGCAGCCGCGGUAAUACGUAGGGGGCAAGCGUUAUCCGGAAUUAUUGGGCGUAAAGAGUACGUAGGUGGCAACCUAAGCGUAGGGUUUAAGGCAAUGGCUCAACUAUUGUUGGAUAUGCGAACUGGGAUGCUUGAGUGAAGGAGAG